rnacentral:rRNA from 1 species
GACAGAGGUGCCAAGCGUUAGGCGGAAUCACUGGGCUUAAAGCGUGUGUAGGCGGAUCGUUAAGUACCUUGUGAAAUCCCACGGCUCAACCGUGGAACUGCUGGGUAUACUGGCGGUCUUGAGCCACCUAGGGGCAACUGGAACAAGCGGUGGAGCGGUGAAAUGCGUAGAUAUCGCUUGGAACGCCAACGGUGAAAACAGGUUGCUGGGGGUGUGCUGACGCUCAGACACGACAGCAUGGGGAGCGAACGGG